rnacentral:rRNA from 1 species
UCUUAGUGGCGGACGGGUGAGUAACGCGUGGGCAACCUGCCCUGUACCGGGGGAUAACACUUAGAAAUAGGUGCUAAUACCGCAUAAUAGGGAAUACCGCAUGGUAAUCCUUUGAAAACUCCGGUGGUACAGGAUGGGCCCGCGUCUGAUUAGCCAGUUGGCGGGGUAACGGCCCACCAAAGCGACGAUCAGCAGCCGGCCUGAGAGGGUGGACGGCCACACUGGGACUGAGACACGGCCCAGACUCCUACGGGAGGCAGCAG